rnacentral:rRNA from 1 species
AGAGUUUGAUCAUGGCUCAGAACGAACGCUGGCGGCGUGCUUAACACAUGCAAGUCACGGGGGCUCGCAAGGGCAACCGGCGAACGGGUGCGUAACACGUGAGCGACCUACCUCGAAGAGGGGGAUAGCCGGCCCAACGGCCGGGUAAUACCGCAUACGCUGGUUGGGGGGCAUACCCUGGCCAGGAAACCUCCGGGGCUUUGAGCGGGGCUCGCGGCCUAUCAGCUAGUUGGCGGGGUAACGGCCCACCAAGGCGACGACGGGUAGCUGGUCUGAGAGGAUGGCCAGCCACAUUGGGACUGAGAGACGGCCCAGACUCCUACGGGAGGCAGCAGUGGGGAAUCUUGCGCAAUGGUCGAAAGACUGACGCAGCGACGCCGCGUGUGGGAGGACGCCCUUCGGGGUGUAAACCACUAUUGCCCGGGACGAAACCCUGGUUUCGACCAGAUUGACGGUACCGGGUGAGGAAGCACCGGCUAACUCUGUGCCAGCAGCCGCGGUAAUAC